rnacentral:rRNA from 1 species
UGGGGAAUUUUGGACAAUGGGCGAAAGCCUGAUCCAGCAAUGCCGCGUGUGUGAAGAAGGCCUUCGGGUUGUAAAGCACUUUUGUCCGGAAAGAAAUCCUUGGCUCUAAUACAGUCGGGGGAUGACGGUACCGGAAGAAUAAGCACCGGCUAACUACGUGCCAGCAGCCGCGGUAAUACGUAGGGUGCAAGCGUUAAUCGGAAUUACUGGGCGUAAAGCGUGCGCAGGCGGUUUGCUAAGACCGAUGUGAAAUCCCCGGGCUCAACCUGGGAACUGCAUUGGUGACUGGCAGGCUAGAGUAUGGCAGAGGGGGGUAGAAUUCCACGUGUAGCAGUGAAAUGCGUAGAGAUGUGGAGGAAUACCGAUGGCGAAGGCAGCCCCCUGGGCCAAUACUGACGCUCAUGCACGAAAGCGUGGGGAGCAAACAGGAUUAGAUACCCUGGUAGUCCACGCCCUAAACGAUGUCAACUAGUUGUUGGGGAUUCAUUUCCUUAGUAACGUAGCUAACGCGUGAAGUUGACCGCCUGGGGAGUACGUCGCAAGAUUAAAACUCAAAGGAAUUGACGGGGUCAUAGCUGUUUCC